rnacentral:rRNA from 1 species
AAUCAACGCUGGCGGCGUGCCUAACACAUGCAAGUCGCACGAGAAAGUGGAGCAAUCCAUGAGUAAAGUGGCGCACGGGUGAGUAACACGUGAAUAAUCUACCUCCGAGUGGGGAAUAACUUAGGGAAACCUGAGCUAAUACCGCAUAACACUUACGAGUCAAAGCAGCAAUGCGCUUGGAGAGGAGUUCGCGGCAGAUU